ensembl:snRNA U1 U1 spliceosomal RNA
AAACAUACCUGGCAGGAGUGAUACCAUGAUCAUGAGGGUGGUUUUUCCAGGGUGAGGCUUAUACGUAGUACUCCGGAUGUGCUGACCCCUGUGAUUUUCUCAAGUGUGGGGGAACUUAACUGCAUAAUUUGUUGUAAUGGGGGCAUACAUUCCCCUG